rnacentral:rRNA from 1 species
GAUUAAGCCAUGCAUGUGUAAGUAUAAAUAUUCUACUUUGAAACUGCGAAUGGCUCAUUAUAUCAGUUAUAGUUUAUUUGAUGAAGAAUACUAAUUGGAUAACCGUAGUAAUUCUAGAGCUAAUACAUGUAUAAAGUCUUGUAGACUGCAUUUAUUAGAAUGAAAACCAUAGGUUUCGGCCUAUUCGUGAGUAAUAAUAACUAAUCAUAUCGUAUGCUUAUGUAACGAUGUGUCUUUCAAGUUUCUGCCCUAUCAGCUUUCGAUGGUAGUGUAUUGGACUACCAUG